UUCCUUGAACCGCAUGGUUCAAGGAUGAAAGACGGUUUCGGCUGUCACUUACAGAUGGACCCGCGGCGCAUUAGCUAGUUGGUGGGGUAAUGGCUCACCAAGGCGACGAUGCGUAGCCGACCUGAGAGGGUGAUCGGCCACACUGGGACUGAGACACGGCCCAGACUCCUACGGGAGGCAGCAGUAGGGAAUCUUCCGCAAUGGACGAAAGUCUGACGGAGCAACGCCGCGUGAGUGAUGAAGGUUUUCGGAUCGUAAAGCUCUGUUGUUAGGGAAGAACAAGUGCGAGAGUAACUGCUCGCACCUUGACGGUACCUAACCAGAAAGCCACGGCUAACUACGUGCCAGCAGCCGCGGUAAUACGUAGGUGGCAAGCGUUGUCCGGAAUUAUUGGGCGUAAAGGGCUCGCAGGCGGUUUCUUAAGUCUGAUGUGAAAGCCCCCGGCUCAACCGGGGAGGGUCAUUGGAAACUGGGAAACUUGAGUGCAGAAGAGGAGAGUGGAAAUUCCACGUGUAGCGGUGAAAUGCGUAGAGAUGUGUAGGAACACCAGUGGCGAAGGCGACUCUCUGGUCUGUAACUGACGCU
rnacentral:rRNA from 1 species